UAGACCGCCUGGGGAGUACGGCCGCAAGGUUAAAACUCAAAUGAAUUGACGGGGGCCCGCACAAGCGGUGGAGCAUGUGGUUUAAUUCGAUGCAACGCGAAGAACCUUACCUGGUCUUGACAUCCACGGAAGUUUUCAGAGAUGAGAAUGUGCCUUCGGGAACCGUGAGACAGGUGCUGCAUGGCUGUCGUCAGCUCGUGUUGUGAAAUGUUGGGUUAAGUCCCGCAACGAGCGCAACCCUUAUCCUUUGUUGCCAGCGGUUAGGCCGGGAACUCAAAGGAGACUGCCAGUGAUAAACUGGAGGAAGGUGGGGAUGACGUCAAGUCAUCAUGGCCCUUACGACCAGGGCUACACACGUGCUACAAUGGCGCAUACAAAGAGAAGCGACCUCGCGAGAGCAAGCGGACCUCAUAAAGUGCGUCGUAGUCCGGAUUGGAGUCUGCAACUCGACUCCAUGAAGUCGGAAUCGCUAGUAAUCGUGGAUCAGAAUGCCACGGUGAAUACGUUCCCGGGCCUUGUACACACCGCCCGUCACACCAUGGGAGUGGGUUGCAAAAGAAGUAGGUAGCUUAACCUUCGGGAGGGCGCUUACCACUUUGUGAUUCAUGACUGGGGUGAAGUCGUAACAAGGUAACCGUAGGGGAACCUGCGGUUGGAUCACCUCCUUACCUUAAAGAAGC
rnacentral:rRNA from 3 species